UGGGGAAUAUUGGGCAAUGGGCGCAAGCCUGACCCAGCAACGCCGCGUGAAGGAAGAAGGCUUUCGGGUUGUAAACUUCUUUUCUCAGGGACGAAGCAAGUGACGGUACCUGAGGAAUAAGCCACGGCUAACUACGUGCCAGCAGCCGCGGUAAUACGUAGGUGGCAAGCGUUAUCCGGAUUUACUGGGUGUAAAGGGCGUGUAGGCGGGGAAGCAAGUCAGAUGUGAAAACCACGGGCUCAACCUGUGGCCUGCAUUUGAAACUGUUUUCUUGAGUACUGGAGAGGCAGACGGAAUUCCUAGUGUAGCGGUGAAAUGCGUAGAUAUUAGGAGGAACACCAGUGGCGAAGGCGGUCUGCUGGACAGCAACUGACGCUGAGGCGCGAAAGCGUGGGGAGCAAACAGGAUUAGAUACCC
rnacentral:rRNA from 1 species